GACGAACGCUGGCGGCGUGCUUAACACAUGCAAGUCGAACGGAAAGGCCCUGCUUUUGUGGGGUGCUCGAGUGGCGAACGGGUGAGUAACACGUGAGUAACCUGCCCUUGACUUUGGGAUAACUUCAGGAAACUGGGGCUAAUACCGGAUAGGAGCUCCUGCUGCCUGGUGGGGGUUGGAAAGUUUCGGCGGUGGGGGAUGGACUCGCGGCUUAUCAGCUUGUUGGUGGGGUAGUGGCUUACCAAGGCUUUGACGGGUAGCCGGCCUGAGCGGGUGACCGGCAACAUUGGGACGGAGGUACGGCCCAGACUCCUACGGGAGGCAGCAGUGGGGAAUAUUGCACAAUGGGCGGAAGCCGGAUGCAGCAACGCCGCGUGCGGGAUGACGGCCUUCGGGUUGUAAACCGCUUUCGCCUGUGACGAAGCGUGAGUGACGGUAAUGGGUAAAGAAGCACCGGCUAACUACGUG
rnacentral:rRNA from 1 species